rnacentral:rRNA from 1 species
CGAUUCUGGCUCAGGAUGAACGCUAGCGGCAGGCUAACACAUGCAAGUCGAGGGGCAACGCGAGUAGCAAUACUUGGCGGCGACCGGCGCAAGGGUGCGUAACGCGUGAGCAACAUGCCCGUAUCAGGGGGAUAAUCCAGGGAAACUUGGUCUAAUACCCCAUAGUAAUUUUGUAAGGCAUCUUAUAAGAUUUAAAGCUUUGGUGGAUACGGAUUGGCUCGCGUGACAUUAGCUGGAUGGUAAGGUAACGGCUUACCAUGGCUAUGAUGUCUAAGGGUUCUGAGAGGAAGGUCCCCCCACACUGGAACUGAGACACGGUCCAGACUCCUACGGGAGGCAGCAGUGAGGAAUAUUGGACAAUGGAUGGAAAUCUGAUCCAGCCAUGCCGCGUGAAGGGAAAGAAGGUCCUAUGGAUUGUAAACUUCUUUUGUAUGGGAGCAAUAAGGCCUACGAGUAGGUUGAUGAGAGUACCAUACGAAUAAGCACCGGCUAACUCCGUGCCAGCAGCCGC